CUUCUAAACAGUUCCUGAUCUCCAGAGGGUGAAGGUAGGGGAGCAGGAUGGAAACUAGAACGUUCCUUCCUUUAGGGUAGUGGUUCGGUUUCCUCCCGACCAACAUCUAAGCUGAGCUGUAAAGAGGACGGCAGUCUUGAGUCACUUUGCAUCCAGAGAUCUCAAAGAACUUUAUGCAUCACUUUGUGAACCUUGUGCAAAACACCAGUUAUACCGAGCUUGAGAGUGAAGUUUGAGGUCUUUAUAACUACUCCACUUGGGGAGGGGACGCAUCUUACGGUUAGAGGUUUACUCCAUCUGAAGCAUCCUUCCAGUUCUCUAGGUCUCUAAUGUAGCAAGACUUGUGAAGGCCUGCAGUUCGCAGAAUGAAUCUGGAGAGAUGAUUUUAAAAGAACCGAUCUGCGGACACGUGUAUACCUUGGCCCUCAGGAUAAUGGAAGCCACAAAGAGGUAGAAAUUAAAAUGUCAGCCCAGCUGGGCCCCCAGUGUGGGCCAACAAUUACAAUGGAGCCCAUUGCCUGAGAGGAAGCCACCCUAGGUUUCCUGAAGAACAGAGUCGUCACAGCCAUGUUCUAGAUGCUUCACUGCUGUAAUUACGCUGUGCUGACUGUCAGCAGAAACCAAGGUCUUAAUAAGCAAGCAAUCAAGGAAAAUUUAACGAAGUGAAAAGAAUGGAUUGAAUUCUGGUGAGCUUGUCUUUCAGCUACCGUUGCAUACUGCAAAAUGCUUGGCAGAGCCUGGAGAGACAAGACAAGGAAGAUAAAACAUUCAAAUUCUCUAUGGAGAAAAG